rnacentral:rRNA from 1 species
UACGUAGGGUGCGAGCGUUGUCCGGAUUUAUUGGGCGUAAAGAGCUCGUAGGCGGUUUGUCGCGUCGGCCGUGAAAUCUCCACGCUUAACGUGGAGCGUGCGGUCGAUACGGGCAGACUUGAGUUCGGUAGGGGAGACUGGAAUUCCUGGUGUAGCGGUGAAAUGCGCAGAUAUCAGGAGGAACACCGGUGGCGAAGGCGGGGUCUCUGGGCCGAGUAACUGACGUGAGGAGCGAAAGCGUGGGGAGCGAACAGGAUUA